rnacentral:rRNA from 1 species
UACGAGAGGCCCAAACGUUAUUCGGAAUUACUGGGCGUAAAGCGUGCGCAGGCGGUCUCUUAAGACAGGUGUGAAAUCCCCGGGCUUAACCUGGGAACUGCGCUUGUAACUGAGAGGCUUGAGUGUGCCAGAGGGGGGUGGAAUUCCACGUGUAGCAGUGAAAUGCGUAGAUAUCCGGAGGAACACCAGUGGCGAAAGCGGCCACCUGGACUGCACCUGACGCUGACACGCGAAAGCUAGGGGAGCGAACGGG